GUAGGUGAACCUGCGGAAAGAUCAUUAUUGAAUGAACAUAGAGUCGAUUGUCGCUGGCCCCUUUACCGGGGCAUGUGCACGCCUUCUCUAUUCAUCCACACACACCUGUGAACUUAUAAAACGAAUAGUAGUCCCCUAGAGGACGAGAUCCAUCUGCUAAUACAUAAACUCUAAUAAUAUAAAUUCGAAUGUCAUUUGAUGUAACGCAUCUAUAAACUAAGUUUCAACAACAGAUCUCUUGGCUCUC
rnacentral:misc_RNA from 1 species